CUUACUGCUGGGCUGACUCAUUCCUGCUGUAGGGUGACUGAAUUGUGCAAAGCGUGGGCCAGCACCGACUGAAGUGACUGGUAGAUUUUUUGGUUGACACUGGCAAGACACUGGCAAGACCUGAAGAGAAUUCCUGAGAAUUCAGCCUCUGGAAAGGUGAAUGUUAAUGUUAAUGAGGGUUAUUCGGCCCUUUGCAUACUCUGAGGUAACAUUUCAGUAGCUCACAGUUCCUUAGGAUCUGCUUUUAAGGUCCAGAGGUUUCUAAAGUACUCAGCAGAACAAGAAGCUUAUGUAGACAGUUGGUGGGUUUGGAGCAAACAAAGUCUUUGUAAAAACCUGACCUUUAAACUGGCUUCAUUUCAUUCCUCAUAGCUGCAAAAGUAAUUACAAAAACGAAGGAGGUGGGAACCUUUUGUGUUGUAAGAGGCGCUUUGGAGGACAGCAAGUUUCCAUUCUGAAAAAAACUUGCUGACACUUUCUGUCCAAAGCUUUUGACCUUCAUCUUGUAGAUGCUCUCCUCUUAAGCUUGCAUGCUUCCUUGUCCAUUUAACAGCAUGUUCUGGCUAAAAGCAGGACAGGUACUUCUGAAGACCAUUCCUUCUGGGGCACCUUGUAGUAGAAAGAAUUUGAAAUGGCAUAGAUUACUGUUGUUUGUUCCCCCAACAGUUACUGUUGUGGGAACCUUUGGAAGUUUAUUGUUUGCUUGCAGUGAACAGCUUGACUUUAGACACUAAUGUCCUUUCCAGGGUAGAUGGACACUCUUGUGUGUUCUGGAGUUUUACGAUCCAUGAAAUGACAUAAUGGAUUCUAGAAAGGUGGCAAGCAAUAUUUUGGGACAGUGUAUCUAUGGACACUCUUUAUAGCAGUCACUUACUUCAAGAGCUGUUUUUACUUCAUUUAGUCUUGAGAGGGGGAAUUUAAUUAUCAUGCAUAUUUACAUUCAUUGAGAGCAAUGGUGAUGGUGUUACCAUUGGUCCACAUCCUGGACCUGGACACUGGACAAGAGUGCUUGCAGGAACCCCCUUGCAAGGGUGGGCAAAUUGGUCUGGCACACAGCUAAGGAUCUUUAUCAAAUGAAUAAUGGUAUGUAAUAUGAUCAUUAUCUCAGCAGAAGUACUAGAUACUGCCAUAGCAAGGUGGUCUUUUACACUGCACUGUUGCUUCUCUAAGAUUGUAACACAGGAAACCUUCAUUGGAGAACGGGGUUUUUUAGGUGACUCCUUCCAAAUGUGAGGUUGGCCAACAGCCUGCUGAAAAAUUUACUGGUGUGAGUUGCAUCUCUCCUCUGCUACCACCUUGUACCAGUUUUCUGUCCCUGCUUCUUGACUACAUUUGAAACUAGCAUGAUUGUUGCUCCCAAGAGGCAGCUCAUGAGUCUGGAACUAAGACCAUGAUACAGACUGGAAAGGUUCCUCGCCAGCAGCUGGAUGGAAGAUCUGCUGCCUGAGAUCCUGGAAGUACAGGAGAAAUAUUAAGCAGAUGCUUACAAUGAAGUAAAAAUUACAGACAUUUUGGGCAUAAAUUCAGCAUUCUUUGAAAGAUAGAAAGUUAUUUUUCAUCUGGACCUAAUAGAUAUAUAGCACUUCCAUAAGGAGUGCUACUAAGUAAUCUAUAUAUAUAUAUAUCUAUACUGCAGAUUAGGAGUACUUUAAGAAAGACUGCAUAUGAGGCAGUGUGAAAAGAGCUGGCCUAGCAGUGGGUAAUCCAAUGAAAACUGAAAAAACAACUUAAGCCAAAAAAGAAAAUCUAUGUAAAUUUUACUUCAGCAGAGAGUUAAAAAUCUUAAUAUUCUGUGAAAAAACAGAAUUCAGCAAGCAGACCUGUAUAUUAGAUUGCUUCUAUUGCUGCUGAAGUCAGUAAAGGGCAUGGAUUAGGCAAGAGACAUGACUUGCUUAUGGUGAACACCUGUUAUUUUAGAGAAAGGAAGUUUGUGUACAAUUCCAAGAACCCAAGUCUUACGCAAAUUUUGAGAAGGAAGCCAUCUGACUCAUUAUCUACUAAUCUAAGUUCUAUCUUUGCCAUAAUAUUUACACUU